GUGGGGAAUAUUGGACAAUGGGCGAAAGCCUGAUCCAGCCAUGCCGCGUGUGUGAAGAAGGUCUUCGGAUUGUAAAGCACUUUAAGUUGGGAGGAAGGGCAGUAAGUUAAUACCUUGCUGUUUUGACGUUACCGACAGAAUAAGCACCGGCUAACUUCGUGCCAGCAGCCGCGGUAAUACGAAGGGUGCAAGCGUUAAUCGGAAUUACUGGGCGUAAAGCGCGCGUAGGUGGUUUUGUAAGUUGGAGGUGAAAUCCCCGGGCUCAACCUGGGAACUGCCUCCAAAACUGCAUGACUAGAGUACGGUAGAGGGUAGUGGAAUUUCCUGUGUAGCGGUGAAAUGCGUAGAUAUAGGAAGGAACACCAGUGGCGAAGGCGACUACCUGGACUGAUACUGACACUGAGGUGCGAAAGCGUGGGGAGCAAAUAGGAUUAGAUACCCCUGUAGUCC
rnacentral:rRNA from 1 species